UACGGAGGAUCCGAGCGUUAUCCGGAUUUAUUGGGUUUAAAGGGUGCGCAGGCGGGAGAUUAAGUCGGCGGUGAAAUUUUGCAGCUCAACUGUAAAAGUGCCUUCGAAACUGGUUUCCUUGAGUGUAGAUGAAGUAGGCGGAAUUUGUGGUGUAGCGGUGAAAUGCAUAGAUAUCACGAGGAACUCCGAUUGCGAAGGCAGCUUACUAAGCUACUACUGACGCUCAGGCACGAAGGCGUGGGGAUCGAACAGGAUUAGAUACCCGGGUAGU
rnacentral:rRNA from 1 species